GACGAACGCUGGCGGCGUGCUUAACACAUGCAAGUCGAGCGGUAAGGCCCUUUCGGGGGUACACGAGCGGCGAACGGGUGAGUAACACGUGGGUGACCUGCCCUUAGCUCUGGGAUAAGCCUGGGAAACUGGGUCUAAUACCGGAUAUGACUCCAUGACGCAUGUUGUGGGGUGAAAGCCUUGUGCGGCUAGGGAUGGGCCCGCGGCCUAUCAGCUUGUUGGUGGGGUGAUGGCCACCAAGGCGACGACGGGUAGCCGGCCUGAGAGGGCGACCGGCCACACUGGGACUGAGACACGGCCCAGACUCCUACGGGAGGCAGCAGUGGGGAAUCUUGCGCAAUGGGCGAAAGCCUGACGCAGCGACGCGCGUGAGGAUGACGGCC
rnacentral:rRNA from 1 species